rnacentral:ncRNA from 2 species
AAUUUGCCUCGUCGAAGUACUGACUUUACAAGCAGGGACUAUUAUAUUAAUAUAAGAAAAGCUUUGGUUACUGGGUAUUUUAUGCAGGUUGGUGAAAAUUGCCCCUCAAUAUUAUGACAUGAGCAAUUUCCCACAGUGUGAAGCAAAGAGACAGUUGGACCGCAUCAUUGCCAAACUUCAAUCCAAGGAAUAUUCACAGUACUGAAUUCAGUGCUUAGAACUGAAGUUAUUGAGAGGACAGCUUUAAAAGAUGAAUGAACUCAAAAGUUCGAGUUGUGCUCUUCACGUUGGUUCGAUAAUGGCCUUUAUUUGAAAGCUUUUUAAUUUUUCUUUACAGUAAAUAUUCCAUUCUGAUUUCAUAAAUUAAACAUUUAUGCCUCCCUUUUGUGUUGACACUGUAGCUCAUACUGGAAAA